GUGCUCACUUCAGCAGCACAUAUACUAAAAUUGGAAUGAUAUAGAGAAAAUUAGCACGGCCCCAGCGCAAGGAUGACACACAAAUUGGUAAAGCAUUCCAUAUUUUU
ensembl:snRNA U6 U6 spliceosomal RNA